GAAGGUUAAAUGGAUGCGUUAGCUUAUGCGAAGCGUUGAAAUGAAGCCCGGGUGAACGGCGGCCGUAACUAUAACGGUCCUAAGGUAGCGAAAUUCCUUGUCGGCUAAAUACUGACCUGCACGAAAGGCGCAAUGAUCUCUCAACUGUCUCAACAUUGGACUCGGUGAAAUUAUGGUCCCAGUGAAAACGCUGGGUACCCGCAUCAAGACGAAAAGACCCCAUGGAGCUUUACUACAACUUCGUAUUGGAACUUGGCCUAACAUGUGUAGGAUAGGUGG
rnacentral:rRNA from 1 species